AAGACGAAGUUGACAAGCCGUGGUCGCGCUCUUCCACGAACAAAUUUCUCAACGGAGGCCGGAGAGCUAUCGUGGAGGAGUUUUUAGACUCCGAAUCACCGUCGGCGAAUAGGAUAUCUCUAUUAAACAAAGGAAAAACGGGUCGGAUCUGACCGUUUUGGAAUAUUUCGUCGGCAGAUAUCGGCGAUCCAUUGGGAUUCAAGCAAACAAAACUAAACUCCUCCUCCUCCUCCUCCUCUACCACUUCAACCUCUCUUUCUUCCUCAGGCAGCGGUUUCUCAUCCUUGCAGUUCUCUAAUUCAUUUACCGUGGCUUCAUUUAGUUUCAAUUUCAAGCUAAAAUCCUCCUCAAACUUACCGGCGAUUUCCGCUAAUUGGGUAGCGGAGCAAGAAUUGAAAGAUUGAUGUACGGAAAGAACCGAGCUCGAACUCAUCUCCUGCAUUUCUCCAACGCUUCUAUUCCUUCCAAUCGACCUGCUGGUGUCACAGAGGAGUGAAAGAGAAGAGAUUUAGCGGUGGCGGUGGAGCUGGUUGGAUUGGGUGCAGAGGAAGGCAGGGGAAGUACGAAGUUUUGUUUAAACGCGGUUUUAGUUUUUGGUGCUUUGCGUGUCAAUUUUACGCGCUCGAAGCUGCGACAAGUUCAUCGUUUAUAUAAAUAAAUAAACGAGAGAGAGAGAAAGAGAGAGAAAGAGAAAGGAAAGGGGGAGCGAAA
rnacentral:misc_RNA from 1 species